rnacentral:rRNA from 1 species
UACAGAGGUCUCAAGCGUUGUUCGGAUUCAUUGGGCGUAAAGGGCGCGUAGGCGGCGGGGUAAGUCGGGUGUGAAAUCUCAGAGCUCAACUCUGAAAUGGCACUUGAUACUGCUCUGCUAGAGGAGUGGAGAGGAGAUUGGAAUUCACGGUGUAGCAGUGAAAUGCGUAGAUAUCGUGAGGAAGACCGGUGGCGAAGGCGGAUCUCUGGACAGUUCCGUGACGCUGAGGCGCGAAGGCCAGGGGAGCAAACGGG